ensembl:lncRNA
AGAUCUGAGCUAUAUAAGUCCUCUGGAUAUAAAGGACAGUGGAGUCAGUGGAGUGCAUUGGUGCAAUUGAGGACUGAUGCAAAGGAAGCAGAACCAACUAUAGUCCUUGUCCUCAGCAAGUUUGUAUUUCCUGGUUGUGUGAUUGCUGGAGUUCUGUUGUUUGGAUUUUACAACCCCACUAUAAGAAAGAUUUUAUCUUCAUUCUAUGAUGUGCCAAGCCCAGCCCCUUUAUUCCAACCUCUCUACAAAGAUUAUAACAAACAUUUCCAGGACUGGCUUGAGUCAGAGUGCAAUCUGAUACCAACAUACAAACCAGAAGAGUUCCUGACCAUCGAUACUUUGAUUAUUGAGGCCAAACCUAUAGCAGAGGACCAGGACUGCUCAGCUUCAACACCAUAUCCCCUAGCACAAGUUCACACUCCCUAUGUUGGUCCCUCAGUGAUGGACUGGGUCUGCAGUCACAGUCCAAAUGGAAAUGGUCCAGGGGACAUCCCUUACACCCAGCUGCCCUGCUCUCCCCUAGAGCUCCAGUUUGGAGCGAUGGUCACCUCUUUCUCUCGGGACCCUUCGGUCUCCUGCGAGGGGGACUCUGGAUGCGAGGACUUAACACUCAGCCCAGACAGCAGCUUACCUAAUAGUCCUGUAUCUAGUGAGCCAGAAUGCACCUGUACUGAUUACUGUAUCCUACAUGAAACCUCUAAAGGUUUUAUCCCCACUGUUGUGUCCAAAGAGGUCUCUACUCAUCCCUUGAAGAGUUAUUGCAUAGAGGGACCAGGUAAGGAGGAAACCUGUGCCACUGAGUGAAGUUACCAAACGUUACAUCAUAUGCCAAUAGGACAGACAGCCUACCUCUUGGGUUGUGAAAAUGUACUGAGCAAGGGGUGUUCUAGUCUUUAUAAUUGCCUAAAUGACAUAAUGUUGUCUUACGAUCAUUUGCAGUUUCUUACUUGUAAUUCUGAUGUAGAAUUGUGUAUACUAUACUGUAAUGAAGUGUGUUUUGUCUGUUUGAAAUAAUGUACAUUUUUUAAUUACUAUAUCAAUUGUGUGAUAGCUUAAAUAGCUAUUUUGGACCAGUUCAUUUCAUAAUUUGUAUGCACUGAUGGCACUAGAGCCAUUGAUCCUUCAGUAUGUGAGAUAACCACCAGAGGACGCUGCGACUCAACACUUGCUACUAUCUAUAGGAGAAAUUGGCGAGGUGCAUUUUCUUGGAUGAACAAUUUCAGCUAUAUGUAAUAUUUCGAAAGUAGUUUAAUAAUCCUGUAAUUACUAUGUCCUUUAAUUUGUAUUGUAUUACAUACUUGUUCGCUAUUGUAAAUAAAUUAA